rnacentral:rRNA from 1 species
AUGCAAGUCGAACGGGAGAUUCGUUUGGUACACCGUAGCUGCUCAACAAAAAGGCAGUUACAAAGUCAAAAGCAGCUAACAGCGCAAAGGUUGAACAUUGGGUGUACCAAUAUGGAUUCACUGGCAGAACGUGGCUGAGUAACACGUGAGUAACCUGCCUUUCAGAGGGGGAUAACUGUUUGGAAACGAUCGCUAAUACCGCAUAAGACCACGCUGCGACAUCGGAGAGGGGUCAAAGGAGCAAUCCGCUGAAAGAUGGGCUCGCGCCCGAUUAGCUAGUUGGUGAGGUAAUGGCUCACCAAGGCAACGAUCGGUAGCCGGACUGAGAGGUCGAACGGCCACAUUGGGACUGAUACACGGCCCAGACUCCUACGGGAGGCAGCAGUAGGGAAUAUUGCACAAUGGGCGAAAGCCUGAUGCAGCGACGCCGCGUGAGGGAAGAAGGUCUUUGGAUUGUAAACCUCUGUCUUUGGGGACGAUAAUGACGGUACCCAAGGAGGAAGCCACGGCUAACUACGUGCCAGCAGCCGCGGUAAUACGUAGGUGGCAAGCGUUGUCCGGAAUUACUGGGUGUAAAGGGAGCGCAUGCGGAAAGGUAAGUUGGAAGUGAAAACUAUGGGCUCAACCCAUAACGUGCUUUCAAAACUAUUUUUCUUGA